GAAGUAAAAGUCGUAACAAGGUCUCCGUUGGUGAACCAGCGGAGGGAUCAUUAUUAGAAGCCGAAAGGCUACUUAAAACCAUCGCGAACUCGUCCAAGUUGCUUCGGCGGCGCGGCCUCCCUCACGGGGGCGCCGCAGCCCCGCCUCUCCGGAGGUGUGGGGCGCCCGCCGGAGGUACGAAACUCUGUAUUAUAGUGGCAUCUCUGAGUAAAAAACAAAUAAGUUAAAACUUUCAACAACGGAUCUCUUGGUUCUGGCAUCGAUGAAGAACGCAGCGAAAUGCGAUAAGUAAUGUGAAUUGCAGAAUUCAGUGAAUCAUCGAAUCUUUGAACGCACAUUGCGCCCGCUAGUACUCUAGCGGGCAUGCCUGUUCGAGCGUCAUUUCAACCCUCAAGCCCUGCUUGGUGUUGGGGCCCUACGGCUGCCGUAGGCCCUGAAAGGAAGUGGCGGGCUCGCUACAACUCCGAGCGUAGUAAUUCAUUAUCUCGCUAGGGACGUUGCGGCGCGCUCCUGCCGUUAAAGACCAUCUUUAACUCAAGGUUGACCUCGGAUCAGGUAGGAAUACCCGCUGAACUUAAGCAUAUCAAUAAGCGGAGGAAAAGAAACCAACAGGGAUUGCCCCAGUAACGGCGAGUGAAGCG
rnacentral:rRNA from 1 species